AGAUAUAUAAUUAUUUUUUUUAUAAGGUUUUAACUGAUUAUAUAAAGAAUUGAUGUGUUUUAAUAAAAUUUUUUUUAUUAUAGAUUACAGUAAUGUGAAUGAAAAGUUUUAAUUGUUAAUAAGAAUAAUUUAUUUUUAGUACCUUGUGUAUCAGGGUUGAUUAAAUUAAAGGGAUUUAUUUAUUUUUUUCUCGAAACUUUAAGAGUUAAUUUUUAAUAAAUUUUAUUGUUGAAUAAAUAUUUAAAAUUAAAAAUUGGAAAUGAAAAGUUAUUCGUUUAAAGUAUAUCUAGUUUUUUCAAAUAAAAUUUAAUUUUAUUGAUUAGGACUAAGUUUUUAAUUUUUUAUAGUUUUGUAUAAUCAAGUUAAUAAUAAAGGGAUAAGCUUUUAUUAAUUUUAUAAUUUUUAGGUUUUAAUAUGAAUUAUAUGAUUAGAAUUUUUAAUUUUUAAAAUUAUGUUUCAAUAAAUCAUGUUUAUUAUAAAAUUUAAUUGUAUUUUAAAUGUUUUAUGAAAAUUAAUAAUUGAAUGAAAAUUUUUUUGUAUUAAUGAUUAAAUUAGUAUAUAUUUAAUGUUUAAAUAUUUGGAUAAAUUUAAGAUUAAGUUAAGGAAUUCGGCAAAUAAAUUUUCACCUGUUUAUUAAAAACAUGUCUUUUUGAAAUUUAUUUAAAGUCUGGCCUGCCCUCUGAGUAAUUGAAUGGCCGCAGUAUUUUGACUGUGCAAAGGUAGCAUAAUCAUUAGUUUUUUAAUUGAGAGCUGGAAUGAAGGGUUUGAUGAAAAAUUAGCUGUCUAAAUUUAAUAAAUAAAAUUUUAAUUUUAAGUGAAAAUGCUUAAAUUUUAAAUAAAGACGAGAAGACCCUAUAGAGUUUUAUAGUUUUUAUUUUUGUUAAUUAAUGGAAGAGGAUUUGAAAAGAGUAAAGAUUAUUUGAUUGGGGUGAUUUUAAAAUUUUAUAAACUUUUAAAUUAUUAUUACAUUAAUUUAUGAAUAAUUGAUCUUUAUUUUUGAUUAUUAGAAUAAAUUACCUUAGGGAUAACAGCGUAAUUUUCUUUAAAAGUUCAUAUUGAAAGGAAAGAUUGCGACCUCGAUGUUGGAUUAAAGUUAAGUUAAGGUGUAGAAGCUUUAAUAUUAGGUCUGUUCGACCUUUAAAACUUUACAUGAUCUGAGUUUAGACCGGUGUGAGCCAGGUCGGAUUCUAUCUUGUUUAAAAAUAAAUUUAUUAGUACGAAAGGACCAUGAAUUUAAAUUAUAUUUUUUUUUUGAAUAUUAAU
rnacentral:rRNA from 1 species